GAACUUUGACCUUUGCAACGGCACAUUCAGUGUCUCCUCUUUGAAAGGAGGGAUCGAGCAGCGUUCACUCACUCUGCACUCCCAUCGAAACCACAGGCUCCAGCUCUCUGUGCUAUCUGUGGCUAUAUAGCCUGCUCACAGGAUCUAGGUCCCGUGUCACUGGAAACUGCCAACAGAGAGAGGAAAGACAGAAGCAGCUGCUUAAAAGCCAAGCACGGGGUUUGGAAGUUGUCUCUAAGAUGGCAACAGGCUCUUGGGAUCAGACAAAUCAGCUCCUUUGGAGAAAAAAGCCUUCUGCUCAGACACGGCAGGGAUAAAAUACCGAGGAGGAACGUCAUAGCUCAGAGCGCAAGUGUGACUAUUUCCCCACCAGCCCAACCCACUGCUCAAGGAACCACGGGAGGCCUGACCCCGGUGCAAGGCCACAUGGAAAAGCUGGCAAAACAGCCUGCCAUCGGCAGAGCACAGGAAGCGGUUUGCUCUGUGGCUACACCACCCAUGUGUUACACAAUGUGAUACGACGGGGGAGAAGUGGCUUUCUUCCUCUUCCAAAUUAAAAUAGCCUUUCCUUAACGAAAAAAAAAAAAAAAAAAA
rnacentral:lncRNA from 1 species